rnacentral:SRP_RNA from 1 species
GCUGGGCAUGUUGGCACAUGCCUGUAAUCCCAGCUAUUCGGGAGCCUGAGGCAGGAGAAUCACUUGAACCCAGGAGGCAGAGGUUGCAGUGUGCCACUGCACUCCUGCCUGGGGGACAGAGUGAAACUCUGCCUCAA